GUAAGGCCUUGGAAAUGGGUUCUUCCCAGAGUGUGCUGGGCAUGGUGAGGAAAGAUUUCCACGAGUGAAGAAAUCAACACUGGGCAGCGUGGCUUAUACCAAGAUCCUCACCAUCCAAGUAGAUCUUUUCCCCUGUGGAACUCAGCAGCUGCCAGCAGUACAGCUGAGUGGAGAAAUCAGACCGCAGUGGAAGGAAUGAUGAGCUUCCCAAGAGGCAUCUGAAUCGGUGGAGAAUCCCUCAGUCUUCAGAGAUCUUGAUUAGAGAGAGGCUCCAACCUGUAACAGGCCAGGCGACCCAACCACUUCGUGGUGAGUCCAUCCUGUCUGCCAGCAAAUUGGUCCAAUCACAAUCGCCCAAGAUCGUAGAAUGU